GCUGUAAUGGCUGAGUGGUUAAAGUACUGGGUUUGAAAUCCAGUAGGGUUUCCUUGUGCAGGUUUGAGCCCUGCUUGCAGUG
rnacentral:tRNA from 1 species